rnacentral:piRNA from 1 species
UUCAUGGUUCAUAGUUGAGGGCUUUCCACA